rnacentral:rRNA from 1 species
UACGUAGGGUGCAAGCGUUGUCCGGAAUUAUUGGGCGUAAAGCGUGCGUAGGUGGUUUGUUAAGUCUGUUGUGAAAGCCCCGGGCUCAACCUGGGAAUGGCAAUGGAUACUGGCAGGCUAGAGUGCGGUAGAGGGUAGUGGAAUUCCCGGUGUAGCGGUGAAAUGCGUAGAGAUCGGGAGGAACACCAGUGGCGAAGGCGGCUACCUGGACCAGCACUGACACUGAGGCACGAAAGCGUGGGGAGCAAACAGGG